UAUAUAUAUAUAUAUAUAACAUUCCCAAAAUAGGGUUAUCAUUCGUCAACCCUAAACGACAUGGUUAAUCAAAUCAAACAUACAAAGUGCACAACAAUCUCAUAAUUUACAUUUAAGUAACUAUAUACACAUGUAAGAAACCUAGACUAUUAACGGAGUGACUUUAGGCGUGGGUACUGUUACUAGAUGCCAUGGUACCUACCAAAUGGCAAAUACAAAUGGACUCUUCGACCUAGGUCCCAAAUACCUCUAAAUCUAAAAAACAUAAAGUUGAAAAGAGUGAGUAUAAACCUAGUGAGUGAACAUAGGAAAGGAACAAGCAAAUGAUAAGGAAAGUUUAGAAAUCAUGAUACACUUAUGUUAAAAACAAUGCAAUUUAGUUUAAUUCCUCGUAAAACCCCUCAAUUCGACCUUUGAUUAUUUAACCCCUUAGUGUUGAAGGAUCCAUGAUCCAUAAUGAAAUCAAAGAGUGUAAACCACAGUAAAUGUCCAAGCAAGACAGAGAGUUUUUCGUUGCAUUGAAAAUCAAGUUAGAAACAAUUAACAAUUUCAACAUCCAACAUUCAUUACAAUCGCAUAAUAUUUCUCUAACAUUUCUAUGGUAUGUGUAAACAUGUAUACAACCAUCGGCUCAUCAGCUCAUGUGCACUCCCACACCGCACAUAGUUGGAAUCAUUAUCCAACGGUCAUCAGCUCAUGUGCACUCCUACACCGCACAUAGCCGGAAUCACCCAUUAUCACCGACAUGUGCACUCCUAUACCGCACACGCGCAGUUACAAUUAUCACACAAUAUUAUCAUUCAAAGCAUAACACAUAGAUCAUCAGAAUAUAGGAACACAUGGGUUCAUCACAUUACACAUUUUACAACAUAAAACGUUUCAUCAAGGGCUUAUUCCCAAGCAUGAUUUAGAGUAAAAAAUCAAAUAAAAUCAUUUAAGUGCUUUAUCCCAGCAAAUAUGUAUUUCCAAAAAAUAAUUUAAUGCAAGUUCACUCACCUUAACAAUGGCACCUAACAAGACUAGCACCCACAAGAUCUUAAUCUAGGUAGUCCCGAAAUACCAUUAAAACGUAUAAUUGCCAAUAAACAAUAAUAGUUUCAAAUAUAUCAUAAAUUUAAGCUUAAUAAUUCUAAUGAGCAUACAGUUGAUAAACUACAUUCUAGUCUAAUUCUUAACCUAGAAUUCUAGUAUAAUUCUCAAACCCAUCAUAUCAACUAUUCCAAUUUAAAGGUUCUUUACUUUGGUGAGUUUAGAGGCAUAAAGAUCAACAAAAACAUAAUAUUUCCAAGAAAAAGAAUUUGAAGAAAUUAGGAAAUAAAAUCUGAAAAUAUAACCCAUAAGUUCAUAAAUUCCAAGAGUUGAAAAUAUAUACCUUUUAGCCUUAAAAAUGGAGAUUUAAAGUUGAAAAUUCAAGUGU
rnacentral:lncRNA from 1 species